rnacentral:rRNA from 1 species
AGUGAACGCUGGCGGUAGGCCUAACACAUGCAAGUCGAACGGCAGCACAGGAGAGCUUGCUCUCUGGGUGGCGAGUGGCGGACGGGUGAGGAAUACAUCGGAAUCUACCUUUUCGUGGGGGAUAACGUAGGGAAACUUACGCUAAUACCGCAUACGACCUUCGGGUGAAAGCAGGGGACCUUCGGGCCUUGCGCGGAUAGAUGAGCCGAUGUCGGAUUAGCUAGUUGGCGGGGGAAAGGCCCACCAAGGCGACGAUCCGUAGCUGGUCUGAGAGGAUGAUCAGCCACACUGGAACUGAGACACGGUCCAGACUCCUACGGGAGGCAGCAGUGGGGAAUAUUGGACAAUGGGCGCAAGCCUGAUCCAGCCAUACCGCGUGGGUGAAGAAGGCCUUCGGGUUGUAAAGCCCUUUUGUUGGGAAGGAAAAGCAGCCAGUUAAUACCUGGUUGUUCUGACGGUACCCAAAGAAUAAGCACCGGCUAACUUCGUGCCAGCAGCCGCCGUAA